GGCGGUGUGCCCGAGUGGCCAAUGGGAGCGGACUGUAAAUCCGUCGGCUUAGCCUACCCAGGUUCGAAUCCUGGCGCCGCCAC
rnacentral:tRNA from 27 species